GGGAGCUUGGAUGUGGAAGCUCUUUGGAAACCAAGAAACACUCUGCAAAUGAAAAGGAUGCCAACUUCAUCUGUCUUUAAGAAUACAAUAUUAGUUUAAAAGACUGUUCAACUUAAAGCAGUCUUGUAGAGAUUGUCACCCAUGAUUGAUGCUGGCAUAAGAAUGUUUAUCACAGCAUGGCAUAUAUUGGAAGUUUAGUAAAUGAAGAUACAUCCAAUCUGACAUUCCAUUCACAACCACAAAGAGAUAAUGUAGAAACAUAUUUAGUAAUGUGAGAAAAUACUAAAUAUUAAGUGGAAAAAGGUGGAAGAGUAAACUGUUCCCGUUUCUCCAAAUUGACAGGAAGCAGAAGUUCUCCUUAGCUGAUUUUUCUUCUUGCCUUAUACUGGGUUCUUUAACACCAGAACAAAAAUAAAUAAAUAAAAGAAUCUUCCAGAAAUUCAUGAAGAGACUUCAGGUCAGGAAAGCCUGAACUUUCUCAUCUAACACCUGUUCAAGUCGGAGGAUGCUGAUUAAUUCAUGAUGGAAAGGUAUCAAUUUCACAGCCCAGACUUCUACAUUCUUGAAAUGCUGUUCUCAUGGGAGACAUUAAAUAAGCUUUGAAAUAACUGAGACGUCUGUGGAUUCUAUAACUCAAAGACCCAGGCUGAUGGCUGGUGGAAUAGCUACCAUCUCAAACAUGGCGUGAUGCUGCAUCAGAGGGAAAAAUAAGCUCUUGCACUGGCAAUGAAAUGUCUACCCUGUAGUGACUUGUGCUUACUUCCACUCACAAAUGAUUGCCCAGAGCUACUUACCUGGCUCCAAUCUACCACUGGUGCCAUGACACCCAGGAUGCAGCUGUAGGAACACCACUGGGUCCCUGGAUAUCAUGUAAGCCCUUAAG
rnacentral:antisense_RNA from 1 species